ACACAUACUUCCGUUGAGGCUACCGUGAUCAACAAGGCGGCUCCUCCGGAGAGAGGCCUCAUUGCACUACCGGUUUGAGGCUGAUCUCUGAUAAUAUCUCUAAGAUAGAUAUGUCUAACGUAUAAUUUUUGGUAGUCGGGACUGCGUUCGCGCUGUCCCGC
rnacentral:snRNA from 1 species